AUUUGAAUUGAAGAUUUAUUGCGUGUGUUAUCUAUAGUGAGUGUGAUGCUAAGAUAGCAGCUGACAGUAUAUUUUUUAGGGAGUUUGGUAAACAUUAUAAUACCCUAUUUCCACAGCACCCAACACCUCGGUUUUUCCGUUCAGGUCGAAUGUUACGUUCGCCCCAUGUAAAAACCCAUAAGAAAAAAAGUCGGUUUUUCUACGUUCGCGAGCUACGUAGAAAUAGCGAACGCACUUUUUGGGUAAUUAUGCGAUAUUUUGAUCGAUAUGACAACGAAAAAGAGCUCACCACUAAACAAACAGCUGACAUUUAAGUGCGCCAAGGUAUGAAAUUAGAAAAAUAAAAUUUUAUUUUGCUUUUUAAAGCAAAUCUUUUUUGGAGUGGAGUGGAGUCCCUGCAGUUCUGGAGGUGUCGAUUGCCCUGGGUAAGUGCUUACCUCGCCGAUCACUACAUGGGUACUUACUAAAGUGACCCUAUAGUAAUCGAACGUCGAACCACCGAGUCGACUCGAGUUUGCGAUUGGCCCUAUAUAAGUGCUUACCUCGUCGAUCACUACAUGGGUACUUACUAGAUUAACCCUAUAGUAAUCGAACGUCGAACCACCUAGUUAAUAAAUAUAUGCGCAUUAAAGCAUAAGUACAAAAUAACGGCAAGCAUUGCUUUUGUUUUUGUUAUUUUGUGGAAAAAGCAUACACAAGAUUAAAGACAAAACUUCGAUUACGCUUUACAUCGCUGUUUGUUUACGCGUCUUUGUUUUAUUUUGUGCUACUCUUUUGCUCAAACGCAGCUGUGUUUGCUGGCUGACGAAAUUUUGCAAGCAUUUGAGUAGAGAAGUGCAAAGCGGAUCAAUCGAUCAAUUAUUAGAUAAUAAAAGUACGACAAGCAGUUAGAAUAAUGUAUAGUUUUACAGUGGAAAACUACAAUGUGGCUAAAGAAGUGGAAUUGGAAAUUAUGACAGAAAAUCUACGUUAUGGAAAUAAUGACAGGCGUUUGCAGCCCUAAAAAAAGAAGACAAUUUCUUUGGUGUUAUGAUCGAUUCAAUAACUGAGGACCAGUUGAGAAAGGCCUUGCAGCUCCAAAAAAAAAAACGAUAUUUUAAAACUCAAGGUGCCUUAAAGUAAUAAAAGUAUUAUUAUUAAAAUAAAGAAAAAAUAAAAUUAAACAAAAACUGAAAUUGUAAUUGUAAAUUUUUUUUUUAAUUUAUAAUGGCCGACUCCUCAAUGGGGUCCGAUGUAAGCACUUAUUUUACUGACCCUUCAAUGGGGUCCCAUGUAAGCACUUAUUUUACCGGCCGUUCCAUGGGGUCCCAUGUAAGCACUUAUUUUACCGGCCGUUCCAUGGGGUCUAAUGUAAGCACUUAUUUUACUGACCCUAAUAUGUUGCACUAUUUCACUAGUUCGUGGUAAUCGAGGCGGUGGCGAUUGACCCUAUUUGCGGACAUUUCAUACAAAAACGGAAAUUAAGAAACGCAUGGCUAGACGCCACUUUGUAAGUAGUGAGUGGCUCCUGGUAAGCGCUUAUUUCACCAGCAACGAACUAGCGCUCAGAACUGGCAUCCACGAGGCUUUGUUGUUCGAGUUAUGGGAGGAGAAAUGUAGUGUAUUUUUUGGCCAAUCCACAAGGAUGCCAAACUCCACCCUAUUAAAUUGAAAAUUAUCUUUAAAAAAAAAUUCGCUGUUUCCAGAAAUAUCGCGCUCCCAAAAACACCCAUGCCGUUGCUAAAAAGUAAAUGUAUUUAUGUAAAUAUUACAUUGCUGCCAGCAAUUCUACUUACAUAGGCCCAAACUUCCUACACUUUGUUAAAAUCCUCAUCAAAAUCUUGCAAUUUACUCGUGUUUACAUUUAAACAGCAGAGCGGACAUAUUGAGAAAUUUACCGUUGCCCAUAUUUUUCGGUUCGUGCCAAUGGAAACCCCAAAACGGGACUUUGAAAAACUUAAAAAAUAACUGAGUGCAGUGGAAAUAGUCUAUUAGUGGCAGUUGGAAUUAUGUGCGUCAAGAUAGCUCCGUAACUUUAGCGUCACAUAUAAACUUUUUAUUUUCGUCUUUUUACGUGAUAUUUAAUCUUAAAUUAAAAAAGUUUAAAUGCAAAACAAUAGAAAAUUAAAUUAUCUUUCUAUUAAAUCCAUGUUCGUCAAAUUGCAUGCAGUAUUUAUGCACUAAAAUCGUGAAUGAAAAAUUGGGGUUGCAACAUUUUUGCCAAUAUCUCGGCUUUGACGAGUUGUCUACCAAAUCGGCUUAUGACAAGUUAUAGAGUAUUGUUUUAUAAAUAUACCCUCAAAAAAUCACAAAUUUAUUCUAGGUUGUUUUUGAGAUAUUUCAGGAAAAGUACGAUAACCUCAGCUCCAGCCCCAUACAAAAUGAGCACAAAAAAUCAAUGUUGCCGAUUUCAGACGGUAAUGUCCCGCCAGUCAGAAGCAACUGAUGGUGAUCUUUAUUGUUCUAUUACUCUUAUAGCAACUUUAACAAUAUUUAGGCCUUAGGGAUAAUGUUUACAGGUACAUGUUGCCUGCUGGAAUUGACUUUACGUUAACAUUUAGUUUAAGCUAGAUAAAUGUUGUCCGUUACGUUGCUAGGGUUAAGGAAUAAUGUUCCUAAGCAAGUUUUAGUUUUAGAGUAAUUGCUGUUUCUUAUAGGCUAGGUUUAGGUACAAUUGGAUCUUAUGAAGCUACAGUUUUGAUUUAAAUAUUGGACACGAGUAUCAAAUUUAGAUUAGGCGUUAAGGUGGGUUUAAUAAGACUUAGUAAUUUAUAAUUAAUCUAAAUUUAGUGUUACAAUUUUAUUACUGUUAUUUUUCUCUCUUUUUUAUUUUUAUAUUUAUGUACAUGUUUAAUAGCCUAUUUCCACCUCACUCAGUUUUUCUACGUUUUUUAAAGUUCCGUUUCGGGGUUUCCAUCUGCACGAACCGAAAAAUAUGGGCAACGGUAAAUUUCUCAAUAUGGCCGCUCUGAAAUAUCAGCUGUUCAAAUGUAAACACGAGUUGGCGAACAUUUCAAAAAUCAGCAAGCGCAUUUGAAAAUGGACAAUUUUCUUAAUUUACAAGAUAUUGAUGAGGAUUUUGACGAAAUGGUUGAUAAAUUAACCGAGUAUAGGCCAUUGCCACUAUUGAAGAAAUCGCCAUCAGUUUGGGCCUAUGUAAGUAGAAUUGCUGGCAGCAAUGUAAUAUUUACAUAAAUAUUUUUAUUUUUUAGGAACGGCAUGGGUGUUUUUGGGAGCGCGAUGUUCCUAGAAACAACGAAUCAUUUUUUGAAGAUAAUUUUCGAAUUAAUUGGGAGGAAUUUGGCACCCUUGUGGAGCGCCUUUGUGGAUUGGCCAAAAAAGGCACUACAUUUCUCCUCCCAUAACUCGAACAACAUAGCCUCGUGGAUGCCCCUCCACGAUAUUGACGGCUUGCGAGUUUUUUGGCUCAUCUAAAAUAUAAACAAUUUGCUUUAAAAAGAAAAAUAAAAUUUUAUUUUUCUAAUUUCAUACCUUGGCGCACUUAAAUGUCAGCUGUUUGUUUAGUGGUGAGCUCUUUUUCGUUGUCAUAUCGAUCAAAAUAUCGCAUAAUUACCCAAAAAAUGCGUUCGCUAUUUCUACGUAGCUCGCGAACGUAGAAAAACCGACUUUUUUUUCUUAUGGGUUUUUACAUGGGGCGAACGUAACAUUCGGCCUGAACGUGAAAAAACCAAAGAAAACCGUGCGGUGGAAAUAGGCUAUAAAUGUUGUCCGUUACGUUGCUAGGGAUAAGAAGCAAUGUUCCUAAACAAUAUAGUUUUAGAGUAAUUGGUGCUUCUUGUAAGCUCGGUUUAGGUACAAUUGGAUCUUAUAUAGCUACAGUUUAGAUUUAAGUAUUGGACAGAUCAGAUUUAGAUUAGGCAUUAAAGUGUGUUUGACUAGACUUAGUAAUAUAUAAUUAAUCUAAAUUUAGUUUUACAAGUUUUAUUAUAAUUUUUUUUUCUCUCUUUUUUUUAUUUUUAUAUUUAUGUACAUGUUUAAUAUGUCUUACAUUUUUAGUUCUAAUAAAAAUAUUGCAACUCUGCCGCUAACUUUUGUCAGUGUAAUUAAUUCUGUGGGCAAUUUGACAGUUAAAUAGUAUGGUAAACGAGACUGCAUGUGUAGUCAGUGUUAGGGUGGGGGGAUAUAAUUUAAUUUGAUUUAUUUAAAUUUGCGCGUUAAAGUUAUCGAUAGAAAGUGUGCCGAAGUUAAAUGGUGUAAAGUUGUUUUAUUAUGUUGGUGGUAUGGGAGAAUAAAAGUGUGAUACAUUUGAUUUUGGUUUAUU